GUGCAAGGAACCUGAGAAAAUGCCUUCGCCCACACUUUCUUCACAGACUUUCUCCACCCUGUGCUUUUUCUUGUCAUUAUUAUUCCUCUUGUUACAGUAAUUGCUGCUUCUGUGUGUAUCUGUACGAGACAGGACGCUUUUAAACAGUUCCCCAGUGUUUUCAGUGUCACAAGGUAGAAGUUAUUUAUGCAGCUGACAGGAAUGUGUCUAUUGCCUUAGGGAAGGGCUGCAGGAAGCAAGAAAUCGCAGUCAGAAGAGAGCCCUGUCCUCAGAAAAGCAUUUUAGUGACGGACCAGCAGAGGUAUGGAGGGACAAUCCACCUGCCACUUCAUUGCAUUUCUCUCAUCUUAUUUCCCCUUCUAAGUAUUUUUUCUCAGAUAUUAGCAUCUCCUACUUGCUUUGUUUUUCUAUUGUCUUUAUUCAGAGAUAUCUAGCAGGAGGUUGAUGUGUUUCUCAUUCAGUACUGUCAGGUGCAUUGGGAAGAGUGUUAACAGCAGGUUACAUGUUUAUGGCCUCAAGUUGUGCCAGGAGAGAUUCAGGUUGGACAUUAGGAAAAAUUUCUUCUCCAAAGGUGUGGUCAGAUGCUGAAAUGGGCUGCCCAGAGGGGUUGUGGAGUCACCUUCCCUGGAGGUGUCCAAAAAGGAUUUAGGUGUUGUACUGAGGGACAUGGUUUAGUGGGGAAAUAUUGGUCGUAGGUGGACAGUUAGACUGGAUGAUCUUGGAGGUCUUUUCCAUCCUUGGUGAUUCAAUGAUUCUGUGAUUCAAGAGAGACAAUCCUUCCCCUCUAGUCAGCACUGGUAAGGAUGCACUUGGAGUUCUGGGUCCAUCCAGUUCUGGGCCCCUCAGUACGAGAAAUACCUGGACAUACUGAAGUGUCCAAGAAAGGGAUACCAAAAUGGCAAAUGCUAGAAGCACUUCUGCUAUGAGGAGGGGCUGAGAGAGCCACAGCUGCUCGGCUGGAGAAGAGGACACUCAGGUGGACCUCAUCAAUGCCCAUAAAUACCUGAAGGGAAGGUGCCAAGAGGCUGCAGCCAGGCUCUGUCAGUGGUGCCUGGUGCCAGGACCAGAGGCCAUGGGCACAAGCUGGAGCACAGG
ensembl:lncRNA